rnacentral:rRNA from 1 species
GAUGAACGCUGGCGGCGUGCCUAAUACAUGCAAGUCGAGCGAACGGACGAGAAGCUUGCUUCUCUGAUGUUAGCGGCGGACGGGUGAGUAACACGUGGAUAACCUACCUAUAAGACUGGGAUAACUUCGGGAAACCGGAGCUAAUACCGGAUAAUAUUUUGAACCGCAUGGUUCAAAAGUGAAAGACGGUCUUGCUGUCACUUAUAGAUGGAUCCGCGCUGCAUUAGCUAGUUGGUAAGGUAACGGCUUACCAAGGCAACGAUGCAUAGCCGACCUGAGAGAGUGAUCGGCCACACUGGAACUGAGACACGGUCCAGACUCCUACGGGAGGCGGCAGUAGGGAAUCUUCCGCAAUGGGCGAAAGCCUGACGGAGCAACGCCGCGUGAGUGAUGAAGGUCUUCGGAUCGUAAAACUCUGUUAUUAGGGAAGAACAUAUGUGUAAGUAACUGUGCACAUCUUGACGGUACCUAAUCAGAAAGCCACGGCUAACUACGUG